AACGAACGCUGGCGGCAUGCCUAACACAUGCAAGUCGAACGAGACCUUCGGGUCUAGUGGCGCACGGGUGCGUAACGCGUGGGGACCUGCCCUUAGGUUCGGAAUAACUCCCCGAAAGGGGUGCUAAUACCGGAUAAUGUCUUCGGUCCAAAGAUUUAUCGCCUUUGGAUGGGCCCGCGUCGGAUUAGCUAGUUGGUAGGGUAAAAGCCUACCAAGGGUACGAUACAUAGCUGGUCUGAGAGGAUGAUCCGCCACACUGGGACUGAGACACGGCCCAGACUCCUACGGGAGGCAGCAGUGGGGAAUAUUGGACAGUGGGCGAAAGCCUGAACCAGCAAUGCCGCGUGAGUGAUGAAGGCCUUAGGGUUGUAAAGCUCUUUUACCCGGGAUGAUAAUGACAGUACCGGGAGAAUAAGCUCCGGCUAACUCCGUG
rnacentral:rRNA from 1 species